ensembl:lncRNA
GGGCACUGUCCUGGGAAACAGGAGAUCCAGUUUUAGUCUCAGGUUCCAGUUUUAGUCUCAAUCCGAUGGAAGUGGGAGCUUGCUUGUGUGCAGCAGGGUUGGUGCAUGGUAAACCUGCUCUGCACACUUCAGCGUAGCGAUGAGGACAAACUGCCUCAGAUCCCCUCACACCUUCCACAGAUAACAGCACGCGCGAUGGCAGCUCCUGCAGCACAGCUUCUUACCGUGUCACCACCAUCUGUUCUCUUCCUCUUCAGUGACCCAGCUCAGGGAGCUGAUUCGGCUGGGAACUCAUCGUUUUUGUUGGUCAGGACAGCUUUCCUUUCAAUCGCAUCCUUGACACGGCAUAAUUCAUGGCUGCACAAGCAUUGCUGCUGCAAGCUGCGUGUUGUGGGGAUGGUGUGAAGAGCUCAAAUGUUACACAGCUCACAUCGGGCUAAGCUGUCAAGAAAUGGCGUUUUAAAUCCUGAUAAAACGUCUGAAAGUGAAUAUUAAAAGGAAACAUUAGCACGAAGACUUUUAUCUGUGUCUGACUGUGACAAGAGGUUUAUCAGAGCUGAUUGUUGGUCUAGAAGUACCACCUACUGCAGGUAACAAUCCUGCUUUUCAUAAAGUGGUGUUUUGCUAUUAGAGGGGAACCAGCAAUUCACUAGGUAAUAAUUAGGUAAAGAGUUAGCACUCUUUCCUUACAUUGCUUUGUUAUGUUAAACUAAGGAGGCAGUAACCAGUGAUUAAGUACAGAGAGGUUACUCCUCUUCUUUGUAACUCUUCUUUUGGGUUUCCAUGGGGCUGGAGCCUGUAGCUGUUACACAGAUCAGUGAGAGUGAAGAGGAGUCUUCACAGUGUGAAGAAAGACAGCACCAGACCCAGAUGUGCCAAAAAUUCAAUGCCCUUCCCUAUGCUGACAAAGGAAAUUCCACAAAUAGGUUCACCUUGCACUGAGGGGACCAUCUGUGGCAGAACCCAUGAUCUAACGCUGAUUAGAGCCUUAAUUGGAAGUAACACUGAUUGAUUGAAAUAGGUAAGUGCUGUAGCUAUGUGUAACUUUAGCUUAUUCUUGAGGUUUAUAGCAGAAACACACGAGUGUGUCAGCAGGCAAGCCUCAUUGAACUGUGUAAAAUAAAGCAGUACUUCCUAUGAGUGCAGGAGGGCGAGCUUUAAUAGUGAGCACAAAUUAAAGUACUGAUACUAAAGCUGCUGCUAAGGUGAAUGUUAAUUGUGUUACAUUAACACAAGCUCUUAAUGUGUAUGUCUCAUCCACAAAAGAAACUAUAAGAAAGGUACAUCCUAGAAAUCAUGUUUACUCACUCCUUAAGACUCCCCAUGAACGAGACCUUUGAUGGAAUCUUGGCUUUCAGUAGUUUGUGCCUUUUUUUCUACCUAGUCUUUCGUUGUGGAUAUAAAUAGUAAAACACUAAUUAUUCGUGCCAGUUCUUUGCUAAAUAACACUCAAUAUUUCUGUAAAUGGAUAUUAUUCCCAUAUGCUCUUAUGGAAUUACACUCGUAUUACCUAGGGGUAGAAGAACUGGGGUUUGGAACACUGAGAAAGAUUGCAAAGGAAACAGCUCUUUUCCCCUAAAUCCAGUUAUGGUAACGUGGAGACAUUUUAUGGCUAUUAUAUUGGGGGAAUAGAUGGAAUGAAUCAUACCAGGUUGUUUAGCUAAAAAUAAAUGUUGACCAGAAUAUCACUCCAGUACAUGUCAUUUGAGUGUACAGAAUUAUAAAAGCAUAAAGUAUACAGCAUAGUUAACUUCUGGCUUGAAAUAUUGCCAGUCUUUAACCAAAACAUGUGCAGCCUCUAGCAGGAACAUCAGCUUUGUAACAAGAGCUAUUAGCAAUAGAUAGGCUAACCGCUUAGAGGACAAGCAAAAAGUAGCUGCAUGCAAACCUAGAGUGGUGAAUUAGGAAACUGGGGGGUUUAAAGGCUACCGUGAGGUGUAGCCAAGGAUUUUACAGUGGGAAGUUUGGUCUCCAACAGAGCUAAACUGUGAAGUCCAGGAACAUGUGGCAGGUUUGUUUUCCACAGGCUGUAAGAAGCUAGAAUAAAAGGACUGUAAUGGUGGUUGAUUUUUCUUCUGUUUAGAAUUCCCUAUAGGAAGACCCAGGAAGAUAGACGUAGGUUCAGAAGUGUUUAGGCUUGUUUCCUUAUUUCAGUCUCACCCUGCAGCCCCAUUAAGACAAAAAGAGAAAGGGAAGAGACCACUGCGUUAUGUUUGCUGUGUUUGUACAUAGCUCACUACCAGAGAAUGUGUUAUAUUAAGACAAAGAAAGUAAAAUAAGGUAUCCUGAGUCUGUUUAACCAUGAACUGUGUUUCUGUGCUGUUCUAUUUCCAUUCCAGUGGUCAAGAAAAGGGAGAAUCCAUUUAAAAACUAGUGCUCGUAGCCUUGCAGCUUGUAACAUGAAAAGCGUAGUAAAAUAAGGCCAGGCCUGAUGAGAUUAAAGUGGACUGUCAUGAAACUUCUUUAAGAUGAUGACAGAGGUUGAAUUCCAAUGCCCUUGGGAUUUAUAGUUUGGGCUUAUUAUUCUGAUUAGGGCAGUCAACAGAGAGAGACUGCAAAUAUGUUUUCUCCUCCUGCAAUGAACUCAAAUCCUGAGGCAUGGCUGGAUGGGUUUCCAGCCGUGUGUUGGAGGCUCUGUGCAGCUGGAGGGCUUUUGUGUCUUCAAGGGUUAGUUAAAAUUGAAACUUCUUUAACUCCCAGCACUAUUUUGUUUUUAUUCCUAUGUUGCAGCCUCUCUUCUAUACCUUAAUGCACAAAUUCUUGGUUUGAGAUAUAAGUUCCUGAGUUUAAGCAAUGGAAAAUCUAUUGGGUUUUCUACCACCAACACUCACAGAGCAACAUUUUGGUUCAGGGUACACAAAAUCCAUAAAAAUAAGUGUUAGUUAAUGUUUUUUGUAAUGGGGGGUGGGAAUUCUUGCCUCCUGUAUUCCCUGAUGGGAAGACAGUCCGUGCCAGCAGCACUGCUGAGCUUUUUAGGGGUGCACAGGCUGCCCAUGAUAGGCUCUCACUGACUUGCCUCUGCGUGCAGAGCCAUAACAUGAGUGGAUUUGGGAUUAGAAAACCUAUCUCAUAAAGACAGUCUGUCCU